AUGGCGUCCCUGGGGACUUUCGUCCUGCUCUUGUGGCUGUCGCUGCACUGGCUCAGCCGAGGACAGAAGGUGGAGCAGCAUCCUUCCACCCUGAGUGUCCAGGAGGGAAGCAGCUCUGUUAUCUCCUGUAGUUACUCAGACAGCGCCUCAGUCUACUUCCCUUGGUAUAAGCAAGAACUUGGAAAAGGUCCCCAGCUCAUUAUAGACAUUCGUUCAAAUGUGGCCAGAAAAGAAGAGCAAAGACUCACUGUUUUAUUGAAUAAGACGACCAAGCAUCUGUCCCUGCACAUCGCAGCCACCCAGCCUGCAGACUCAGCGGUCUACUUCUGUGCAGCAAGUACACAUUGCGUCCCAGACACCUGCCGCCUGUGCUCAAACCUGCCACGGGGCAGCCCCUGUCCUUUGACACAGACCUUCAAGUAGAGCAUUUGUGCUAUUGUUUGUCUGCAAGUGGAGGCUAAUGUGUUAGACAUAAAAGCCUAACAUAAGGCUCUUAAGAUCGAGAUGACCCAGACGGAGUUAGAACAUUUUCUUGGAUGAUUGCUGCUUAAUGGAUUAUAGAAGGGAGCUAGUAAGGUUUUAUUUUGAAAUUCAGGUUUUAAAGAUGAGUUUACAUAUUGUAUUAUUCAUAUGCCUUUCCCAUAAAUAACCCCUGAGUACUAAUAUUUCAGUCCUUACUGUGGAUGAGAUGGGCAUUUAAAUAUUGGGUUUCCAAACAACAUGUAUUAUUUUUCUGAUUCUAAAACAUUACAUGCCAAAUAUAGAAAUAUGUAAAGUGCAAAAUAGGAAAGUUAUAAUUCUGUAA